UUCUAUUCAUCCUUUCUUCUCUCUCUUUAUAUACAUAAACUCUAGAAGAAGUCCUUUCUUCUAGGGUUCAUACAAUCAUUUGUUUUCAUUAUCCUUUUUGCUGAAAGUUGAAGUUAUGGAUUUUCAGAACCUUGCUGUCAUACUUGCAGGUGCUCUAAGUCCGAAUCCGGAUGAACGGAAAGCUGCUGAGAACAGUCUCAAUCAGUUUCAGCAUACCCCACAACAUCUUGUGAGACUGCUGCAAAUCAUAGUAGAUGGGUCCUGUGACAUGGCAGUCCGACAGGUGGCUAGUAUCCAUUUUAAGAACUUUGUUGCAAAGAACUGGUGCCCUCAUGAUCCUGCUGAGCAAUCAAAAAUUAUGCCAAGUGACAAGGAAUUGGUGAGGCAAAAUAUUCUCAUAUUUAUUGCACAGGUUCCUUCAUUGUUGAGGGUACAGUUGGGGGAAUGCAUUAAAACAAUGAUACAUGCAGACUACCCGGAGCAGUGGCCAACUCUUCUGCCUUGGAUAAAGCAUAAUCUGCAGGAUCAGCAAGUAUAUGGUGCUUUGUUUGUUCUGAGAAUACUCUCGAGGAAAUAUGAAUUCAAAUCAGACGAGGAGAGAACACCUGUUUAUCAUGUCGUUGAGGAAACUUUUCCACAUCUUCUCAACAUAUUCAACAAACUUGUUCAGAUAACAAAUCCGUCAAUUGAAGUAGCCGACCUGAUCAAGCUCAUUUGCAAAAUAUUCUGGUCAUCCAUUUAUUUGGAGAUUCCGAAGCAGUUGUUUGACCCAAAUGUGUUCAAUGCCUGGAUGGUUCUUUUCUUGAACAUGUUGGAGAGGCCUGUCCCUGUGGAAGGCCAACCAGCUGAUCCAGAGCUAAGAAAGUCGUGGGGUUGGUGGAAGGUGAAAAAGUGGACAGUCCAUAUAUUAAAUCGACUUUACACCCGGUUUGGAGAUUUAAAACUUCAAAAUCCAGACAAUAAGGCUUUUGCUCAAAUGUUUCAGAAGGGUUAUGCUGGGAAAAUCUUGGAAUGCCACCUUAAUCUAUUGAAUGUUAUCCGUGCUGGUGGUUACUUGCCAGAUAGGGUGAUCAACCUCAUUUUGCAGUACCUAAGCAAUAGUAUCUCAAAGAGCAACAUGUACAGCUUGUUGCAACCCAGACUUGAUAUUGUUCUUUUCGAGAUCAUCUUUCCGCUCAUGUGCUUCAGUGAUAAUGAUCAAAAGCUUUGGGAGGAGGAUCCUCAUGAGUAUGUGAGGAAGGGUUAUGAUAUAAUUGAGGACUUGUAUAGUCCCAGAACUGCUGCGAUGGAUUUUGUGAGCGAGUUAGUAAGAAAGCGUGGCAAAGAGAACCUUCACAAAUUUUUAUUCUUCAUUGUCGAGAUUUUUAAGAGGUAUCAAGAGGCAGCCCCAGAAUACAAGCCCUAUAGGCAAAAGGAUGGUGCUCUCCUUGCAAUUGGAGCUCUUUGCGAUAAAUUGAAACAAACUGAGCCGUAUAAAUCAGAGCUUGAACAUAUGCUUGUCCAACACGUUUUCCCUGAAUUUAGCAGUCCCGUGGGUCAUCUUCGAGCCAAGGCAGCAUGGGUUGCAGGACAGUAUGCCCAUAUAAACUUUGCAGAUCCAAACAACUUCCGCAAUGCAUUACACAGUGUCGUGACUGGAAUGCGUGAUCCUGACCUACCUGUUCGUGUUGAUUCUGUUUUUGCAUUACGCUCGUUUAUUGAAGCCUGCAAAGAUUUGAAUGAAAUCCGACCAAUUCUUCCUCAGCUACUUGAUGAAUUUUUCAAACUUAUGAAUGAAGUUGAGAAUGAAGAUCUUGUGUUUACACUUGAGACUAUCGUGGACAAGUUUGGUGAGGAGAUG
rnacentral:misc_RNA from 1 species